AAGUGUGAGAGUGAUCUGUCACUCUGUUGAUUGCCAGAGUUGAUUUGAUUAAUCUAGCUGCCUAGAGAGGUAUCCUUUUCCUCCCUCACUGCUCCAUGAAUGUCCUUCCCAAAACUGUGCUCCAUUGAAGAGGACAACCACCCACAGUAGAGGAGGACCAAUUCCUCAUUCAGGGGUACACAAGUAGCUCUGCUCCCCCUCUAAAGCCUCCAGACAAGCUCACAGAAAAACACUCCCACCUCCAUGUAUGCUUUUUUU
rnacentral:snRNA from 1 species